rnacentral:rRNA from 1 species
CCUUUGACGUUAGCGGCGGACGGGUGAGUAACACGUGGGUAACCUGCCUAUAAGACUGGGAUAACUUCGGGAAACCGGAUCUAAUACCGGAUAAUAUUUCGAACCGCAUGGUUCGAUAGUGAAAGGUGGUUUUGCUAUCACUUAUAGAUGGACCCGCGCCGUAUUAGCUAGUUGGUAAGGUAACGGCUUACCAAGGCGACGAUACGUAGCCGACCUGAGAGGGUGAUCGGCCACACUGGAACUGAGACACGGUCCAGACUCCUACGGGAGGCAGCAGAC